rnacentral:rRNA from 1 species
GACAGAGGGUGCAAACGUUGUUCGGAAUUACUGGGCGUAAAGCGCGUGUAGGCGGUUUGGUAAGUCGGAUGUGAAAGCCCUGGGCUCAACCCAGGAAGUGCAUUCGAUACUGUCAAGCUAGAGUAUCGGAGAGGUUGGUGGAAUUCUCGGUGUAGAGGUGAAAUUCGUAGAUAUCGUAAGGAAGACCAGUGGCGAAGGCGGGUCUCUGGACAGUUCCUGACGCUGAGGCACGAAGGCCAGGGGAGCAAACGGG